GGUCUCCUACGGGACGCAGCAGUGGGGAAUAUUGGGCAAUGGGCGCAAGCCUGACCCAGCAACGCCGCGUGAAGGAAGAAGGCUUUCGGGUUGUAAACUUCUUUUAUGAGGGACGAAUAAAGUGACGGUACCUCAUGAAUAAGCCACGGCUAACUACGUGCCAGCAGCCGCGGUAAUACGUAGGUGGCAAGCGUUAUCCGGAUUUACUGGGUGUAAAGGGCGGGUAGGCGG
rnacentral:rRNA from 1 species